AUGACGGUACGCGGCAUACAACCACCAUCCAUCCCUCGCCUGUUAGGUCGCGCCCUCCAUCCCUUGACUCAUGUGACUGCUAUAGUGCUCAGCUCACAAGCUAUGACAUACAAAGGUUGGGAAGGAUCACCCAUGAUGCUAUUUUUUUUUUCUGACAACAUGGUUCGACCUGAUGGGAUCAAUAUCCCCGAUGCUAAGUUCUACCUAGUAGAUGCUCGAUAUGCAUGUCGGCAUGGGGUUCUUCCAUCGUUCAGGAAAAUCAGGUAUCAUCUCAACGAGUUCUCUUCUAGAAACCAUCCUAAGGCUGCCAAGGAAUUGCUAAAUCUCAAACACUCUAGCCUGUGA
rnacentral:rRNA from 1 species